ACUAUGCAGAUUUACACACCAAGCUAGAAGAGCAUGGUCUGAGGUGCCUACGAAAACCUUUGCUGGAAGAACUGCUCCCAACCACCCCUUUCGAUUUACUUAUGAAGCCAUUGAAAACAAAAGAGGCUGACGACAGGGGAAGCCCCAACUUUGACAAUAAAAAUAUGUCAGCAUGAAAAUGGUUAAUGAUUGCAUUUUAAAUCAAAAUGUUCUCCAUGACUGACUGCUUUGCAGCACUAGGUUAAUCCCGUUUAUUCAGCAAACACAUCUAAGAGCAACUUGGAGGAAAAAAGAAAAAAGAAAAAGCUGGAAAUUGCCUUUUUAUAUUUGCAGUGGCCACAACACCCCCAGCACCCCUGUGAAAAUGCUGAUCUGCACCAAACCAGCCAGAGUUCCAAUAUCUCCAAGUCCAACUUCUUGAUCAACCCAAUUUGCAAUUUUACUAUUUGUCCAGCAAGACAAUGUGACAUCAGGCUGACAGCAGUAAGAGAAUUUGAAAAUCUCUAAUUAGGAGAGCUGCGGAGCAAUUAACGUAUGUCAAAUUUCACUUCAUCAAGUGCCACUCUAAUUUUCCCACUAAAAAUUAAUGGACUUUUUUUUUUCCCCUUUUCUUUUUGUAUGUAUGUGUGUGUAUGUGUGUGUGUGUGUCCCCUCAAGGCAAUGUUGAUUCAAAUCUGCUCAAGAUGCAGCGUUGCACAGCUAAGCAUCUUCUUGAUUACAACCCGCCACACUUCUAACUGCUUUCAUUCUCACUGCCACAGACACUUUGUCAACAGUCAAAUUACGCCAUGCUGAUAACAAUGCAUAAUGGUCUUCCUCAAAGGAGGCUCCUGUCAUGGAGCAGCCUUUCAUAAAAACCGACCAGUUUCUUCUCUGGGAAAUAGAUCUGGCUGAAAAAAUAAUGAAGUUUUUUGUUGUUUCAGCAUUGGUUGCAAUGUAAUUUUUGUUGUUGUUAUUAUUUUUCUUUUUUCCCUCUUUUUCUUCCCCUCUUUUUCUCUCCCCCCUCAUGCUGUAAUUUAUUUAUUUUUGAGCUCAUCUGAAAUUAAGGCAGGGAACUGUUUGAAGAGCUAUACAGAAUGGAAAAUAUUUAUAGUCACUGUUUGUACAGGCUUUGCUUAACCACUUUGCUCCAAGACAUUUUCAAGAGCAACAUCCUCCUCCCAAUACCACUCAUUUCUUUCUCCUUUUUCCGUUUUCAGAAGGUGCAGGGCAACAUCUUUGCAUAAGCACAAGCCCCGCUGACGUCAAUGGGAGUUUUGCCGGAGCGAGGGCUGCGCGCCUUUGGCCCGCUGCUAUAAACACAUUGGGACUUUCUCUUUUAAUGGAUGGUAUUUAGAUUCUACGCGGGGCUUGUUUAACAUGCACGUUUGCCAGAGUCCUCAAACAUCGCAGGGCACGCAAGACAAAUUGCCUUUUUGUCAGAGCAAUGUGGAGGGCAGGAAAAAAGCACCGAGCUGUCCCAGCUAGUUUUUACCUUCCACUCCCUGCUCUCCCCCUUCUCCUGGGAGAUCAAUAACAGCAAAAGCCACAGGGUGUCAUGGGGCAGGAUUUCCAACAAGUAGAAGCACAAUUAAUAAGAAUAACAUACCCUAAAGAUAUAUAUAUAUAUAUAGAGAUAUAUAUAUAUAUAUUUUUUGCCUUUAAGGUUUAGAGUUUAAAUAUAGUUGUCUGCUCACAAACCUGGGGAGAAGCAGGGGGGUUAGCACACCCAGCCCUGUCUGUCACUGGGCUCAUUGCUGCUAACCACCCCAAUGAUACGGGCAGGGCACGUACGCCUUGGUGUGCGUGCCUCUUGUGUUUGAUAUAAAACAAAACCAAAAACAUACGUUGCCUUUUAUCUGAGCCAUUUUUCCAUCAAUAACUUCUUUCUUGCCACAGAUAAAUGACUGAUGUUGCAGCACCAGGUAACGUGGGCCCUGCUCCACCCGAUACUUUCCUCUAGCCUCCCCGUUUAUAUCCACCCCCUUCCCUCCAGGCAUUAAUAUUUUGGCAAUUAACUCUCUCCUGCCUAUUUAGAAAUGGGAGAUUUGGGGGUAUUUGGUUACCGAAGCCUGGAUGUUCCCCUCUUUGUGUCCUCCAGCGAGGACGGAGAAACAAGUCCUCCCCCAACAAUACAGCCCGUCCUCAAGCAUCCCCAGACCGACAGCACGGCGGCCACCGGGCCUGCAGGUUAACACACGUAAAGUAACCUGUGUAUCUCCAAGAGAGGAUCGGGGUUGUUUUCUGAAGAAACCUAUAGGUUGUUGCCACUUUUGCUGCCUUCACCUGGGAGAAGUCGAGUAAUUCUCCAGCCCCUUUCAAAUACGCCUCAUCUGCACCAAAUUUCUGCCGACAAACCAACCGAUAGAUACAGACGUAAGAAAUAUUUAUUAUCAUCAGGGGUACCUUGUUCCAUGUAAGAAAGAACAGAGAGCUAAUGCAAGGAUUGCAGAAGGAAAAUCACCCAGAAACUGCAGGCAAAGGUCUGAAUCCAUUGAAGUCCGCAUGGAAAAUCCUCCUUCACCUUCCCAGGGAAGGAUGGUGGAACCAGCCUGAGGUUGGCUCUGCCUGUUGGAUAUUUUGUUAGAAGCACAUGGUCCAGCUAAAUUUAGAUGAUUUUUUUUGUUUGUUUGUCUGCUUGUAUUAGUGGAAAUUAAAGCAUUGCCAGGAUUUAUGCUUCCUGUGUGUUGCGAGCAUCUCUGCCUUUGACCAGCCACCUUAAGGAAGCAUCGCAAGCAGCUUGGCUUGCACGCCACAGAUAGCUGCCUGCCUCCAGCUCACCUUCUCCCUGUCAAAAUCCCUGGGUUCAUUAGAAACAGUUACUCAUUUAAGAGGUCAAACUAAACCAGAUGCAAACAGACCAAAGCAUUUACACGAGGACUAUGUGAGACUUACGGCAGGAAAGGUUUUACCCGGCUAUUCUUGAAAUCCAAAGCUUUCCGAAGCCUGUUUGUGGCUCUCACGAGGUAUCCUUCUCCUUCCCAAGCAGAACAUAUUUCUUUUUAAACCUGAAACUCCUGUGGACUAUGUUGAUGCCAUAAUUCAUCUUUUCUUCCUGCUUCCUUACUCUUUAUCCCUCUUUCAGCUGGGUUUGAGCCAUCCUUAGCUCAUGGCUGUUGAGCACAAGUCAGCUGGGCUGGGAAUGGGGUUAAGAAGAGCUGCCUGGACCAGUCACUGGCCAACACAUUUGGGAUCUGAGUUACACUGUUAUUUACUCCAGCCAUGCUCAUUUGGACAGGCCAGGUAGCCCCUGUCCUGCUGCAGGAGGGUGAAUUUGCUAUGCUUUGCCUCUUAGGCAUUUCUAGCAUCUUCAGCAUUUCUAGCAUCACAGUUUUGGGAGAUUUCUAGCAUCACAGUUUUGGGAGAUUUGCUUUUCUGUACAUGCCCAAGUUCCCCGAUUUUAUCAGUGCCAUUCAUCUUGAGAUGCUAAGGUGGGCUUUUCUGGUUGCUCAUCAAGGAGAUUGGGGUGAAAUUAAUCCCCUGGUGCAGAAGAACAACUGCCAGACCAGGGUGAAGGGCAAAUGCUCACUCAUGUCUAUUGAUCAGCCUCUUCCCCCUGUGCUUCUACUUGUGAUGCCUUUGGAAUCAGAAGGAAAUUUCUUUCUCUUUCCAAAUAGAAAUUUGGUAUCUAGGAUCUGACCAUACAUUAUUUUUUUUUCAAUUUUAAAUGUUCAAGUCAUCUUAAAGUUCCCUUUUAUUAAAAGCAUCCAUGUAAGCUCUUAUUUUUCCCAUCUUCUAAUUCUGUUACCAUUUAGCUAAUUAAAAAUGCUGUACAAGGACUAGUAUUGAGCUAUAGAAAUGAAAGGUCAAUACAUGAACAACACUUCAUUUGUAAAUAAUAUGGCUCUGUAAUCAAUUAUCUCAUUUUCACAGAAGACAUAUUAAUCUAAAAGCAAAGGAUGGAGACAUUUAGAGGAGGUACGAAGGGGAUCUUUAAAUGUUAAAUGUUCUUCAGCAUGUGCUAAAUAAAGAGUUUGGCAGAGUGAAAA